rnacentral:ncRNA from 1 species
UCUCCCGCUUCACCUCCCUGAGCGGGCGCCUUAUGCAUAUAAGGCAUGUAUUACCCCCGGCCCCCCCUUUUGCCGGGGGUUUUUUUU